rnacentral:rRNA from 1 species
GAUGAACGCUGGCGGCGUGCCUAAUACAUGCAAGUCGAGCGAACGGACGAGAAGCUUGCUUCUCUGAUGUUAGCGGCGGACGGGUGAGUAACACGUGGAUAACCUACCUAUAAGACUGGGAUAACUUCGGGAAACCGGAGCUAAUACCGGAUAAUAUUUUGAACCGCAUGGUUCAAUAGUGAAAGACGGUCUUGCUGUCACUUAUAGAUGGAUCCGCGCUGCAUUAGCUAGUUGGUAAGGUAACGGCUUACCAAGGCAACGAUGCAUAGCCGACCUGAGAGGGUGAUAGGCCACACUGGAACUGAGACACGGUCCAGACUCCUACGGGAGGCAGCAGUAGGGAAUCUUACGCAAUGGGCGAAAGCCUGACGGAGCAACGCCGCGUGAGUGAUGAAGGUCUUCGGAUCGUAAAACUCUGUUAUUAGGGAAGAACAGAUGUGUAAGUAACUGUGCACAUCUUGACGGUACCUAAUCAGAAAGCCACGGCUAACUACGUG